GCCUUCUUAGCUCAGUGGUAGAGCGCGUCACUAGUAAUGACGAGGCCGCCAGUUCAAUUCUGGUAGGAGGCA